rnacentral:rRNA from 1 species
GAUGAACGCUGGCGGCGUGCCUAAUACAUGCAAGUCGAGCGAACGGACGAGAAGCUUGCUUCUCUGAUGUUAGCGGCGGACGGGUGAGUAACACGUGGAUAACCUACCUAUAAGACUGGGAUAACUUCGGGAAACCGGAGCUAAUACCGGAUAAUAUUUUGAACCGCAUGGUUCAAAAGUGAAAGACGGUCUUGCUGUCACUUAUAGAUGGAUCCGCGCUGCAUUAGCUAGUUGGUAAGGUAACGGCUUACCAAGGCAACGAUGCAUAGCCGACCUGAGAGGGUGAUCGGCCACACUGGAACUGAGACACGGUCCAGACUCCUACGGGAGGCAGCAGUAGGGAAUCUUCCGCAAUGGGCGAAAGCCUGACGGAGCAACGCCGCGUGAGUGAUGAAGGUCUUCGGAUCGUAAAACUCUGUUAUUAGGGAAGAACAUAUGUGUAAGUAACUGUGCACGUCUUGACGGUACCUAAUCAGAAAGCCACGGCUAACUACGUGCCAGCAGCCGCGGUAAUACGUAGGUGGCAAGCGUUAUCCGGAAUUAUUGGGCGUAAAGCGCGCGUAGGCGGUUUUUUAAGUCUGAUGUGAAAGCCCACGGCUCAACCGUGGAGGGUCAUUGGAAACUGGAAAACUUGAGUGCAGAAGAGGAAAGUGGAAUUCCAUGUGUAGCGGUGAAAUGCGCAGAGAUAUGGAGGAACACCAGUGGCGAAGGCGACUUUCUGGUCUGUAACUGACGCUGAUGUGCGAAAGCGUGGGGAUCAAACAGGAUUAGAUACCCUGGUAGUCCACGCCGUAAACGAUGAGUGCUAAGUGUUAGGGGGUUUCCGCCCCUUAGUGCUGCAGCUAACGCAUUAAGCACUCCGCCUGGGGAGUACGACCGCAAGGUUGAAACUCAAAGGAAUUGACGGGGACCCGCACAAGCGGUGGAGCAUGUGGUUUAAUUCGAAGCAACGCGAAGGACCUUACCAAAUCUUGACAUCCUUUGACAACUCUAGAGAUAGAGCCUUCCCCUUCGGGGGACAAAGUGACAGGUGGUGCAUGGUUGUCGUCAGCUCGUGUCGUGAGAUGUUGGGUUAAGUCCCGCAACGAGCGCAACCCUUAAGCUUAGUUGCCAUCAUUAAGUUGGGCACUCUAAGUUGACUGCCGGUGACAAACCGGAGGAAGGUGGGGAUGACGUCAAAUCAUCAUGCCCCUUAUGAUUUGGGCUACACACGUGCUACAAUGGACAAUACAAAGGGCAGCGAAACCGCGAGGUCAAGCAAAUCCCAUAAAGUUGUCCUCAGUUCGGAUUGUAGUCUGCAACUCGACUACAUGAAGCUGGAAUCGCUAGUAAUCGUAGAUCAGCAUGCUACGGUGAAUACGUUCCCGGGUCU